GUGUCAGCAGCCGCGGUAAUACGGAGGAUCCAAGCGUUAUCCGGAUUCAUUGGGUUUAAAGGGUGCGUAGGCGGAACGAUAAGUCAGUGGUGAAAGCCUGUAGCUUAACUACAGAACUGCCAUUGAUACUGUCGAUCUUGAGUAUAUUUGAUGUGGGCGGAAUGUGUCAUGUAGCGGUGAAAUGCUUAGAUAUGACACAGAACACCGAUUGCGAAGGCAGCUCACAAAACUAUAACUGACGCUGAGGCACGAAAGCGUGGGGAUCAAACAGGAUUAGAUACCCUUGUAGUCC
rnacentral:rRNA from 1 species